ensembl:lncRNA
AGCUGAAAAUCACAUUAUUAAUGUCUUCAGCCACUUCCUGUCUUUCCUGAGGAGGCUUGUGGAAAACGCUCCGGGUUGCCUGCCUCCUGCAGAGACUGAUGAAUAUAAAAACUGUCCAGUAGUCUAAUCCGAGGGUAAUAAACACCAGUCAGCCUCCUAGUUUAUGCAGGUGAAUCCAGUCCUAACUGAUACCGGGCUUCCCAUUGAAAAGAGAUUUUCACAUAUUGAGGCAUAUGGGUAACUAUUCGAGUUCAAGACUGAUCCGGCUUGAACUAGAAAGCCUGACCUAUGGCCUAUCAAACAUUGUACAUCUGCUUAUCCAUUAAGUGAUGGUGUUCAAUGUCUACAGUGGGUGAGGAAGCAUGAAAAUGUAUCUCUGACACUCCACUCCAACUCUCCUGAGUAAAAUAUCAGCCAGGCGGGAAAGCCCAAAGCGCCUGUCUGUCUACUCAGGUUGUCAGGGGCAGCGGGAGAUCUGUGGAUUCCCCGGAGGAACAGCACCUCUGAACACCUGCAGUCCUGGGAGGGGCAUCAAUCUUCCGGGCCCAGCAGAAUGUCAGACGGCUGCCCAGCCAGGAGAAGGCUGACACCUACAGGCUGGGAGACAGAGAGCAGAGGAGAUUUCCCAGGGCACCGAAAGAGAACGGGCAUUUUGCUGUCCAUUGCAAGCCUACCAGAGCAGAGUGCUAUGUCCCCCCACCAGCCUGUCCUGGCCACCCAGGGUCAAGAGGAACACGAGAAGGCAAAGAAAACUGACAGCACACCUCCCGUAAGACGAACAAAGCAAAUGGAGGAAGACACAGCGGAAUAACUCAUGGGGACCCCUGGCAAAAUCGAACUGCCAGACGAGAGAAAAGAUGACUUUAAUAAAUAAUAAUAGCACUUAAGGAGAUUCCAUUAAAACAUAAAAAGACUCUAGGCAACUAAAAAAUAUUAUUUUCAAAGUAAAAACAAUUUCAUAGAUUAAUGAGAGAAGAGGAUGGUCAUUUUUGAGCACUGAAUUAGUGUCCUGAAAAAAUAAAUGGAAGAAAUACUUUUAAACACAGGUCACAGAGAAAAAGACAGUAUGUCUUUUAGAAUUCAGUUGCAAAUACAAAAAUCACUGUCGUUGUUUUAAGCAGAAAGGAAUUUCAUAGGAGGAAAUGGGUGUUUGCAAAAUUGUGAGGUGCUAGGUUAAGCCCCAGAACUAACCCAACAAGUUACCACCUCUGCCACAGUCGGAAAGAUGGGAGCCACUGGCCCCAGUGCGGACUCCAGGACCCCCACCUCAGCCUGGUGCCAACAGAGAGGGUGCCUAUGCUAUGCCUCUCAAUACCCACAGCUAGUAGCCAGAGGCUAGGGCUCUGUCACUGCUGCCGCAAGAAAAGCAAAGGCCUCCACAGCUGUGCAGCAAAGGCAGUAAUCCCCCUCGCUCCGCCUCCUGCCUGGGUUCCUAUGCUUGGUGGAAGCCAGGUUAAAGGCAGAACCCAAGCUGAAAGAAAGUCUGAGAAAGGUGGCCUUUGAUUUUCCUAAAUCUAACAUACAUGAAAACACAUUAGAAGUUUAGAAUCAUAUUACCUGCCAUAGAUGAUGUAGUGGACGUUUGUCACUAAUGCCUGUCUGGCAGAAUCCCCCACAAUUCUGUACUUCACCAAUUUUAGGAUGUAUUUCACCAA